AAGGGAGACCUAAUUCAGGUAUGGGACGAAAAAAAAGUAGUCGCUACCAAGAAUCAAUCCCAAAAGGUCGGAGCGAGGUAUGAGGCUUUCAAACUAGGUUCUGGGUUCACACAAGACCUGAAUCAGGAACAAGGGCUAUUAGCUCAGGUGGUUAGAGCGCACCCCUGAUAAGGGUGAGGUCCCUGGUUCGAGUCCAGGAUGGCCCACCUGCACAGGUGGCAAAAACAAGAGAAGCGAGGAAUCAGCACCUUAUCUUAUCUAUAUAUAUAUAGGAGAGAAUGCUGGCUCUGAGUAAAGAGUCCAGAGGAACCUUGAAAACUGCAUAGAGCUAGGUGAAAAAGCCAAAAAAGAAGACCGCAAGGUCAAGCUAAUAAGGGCUAACGGUGGAUACCUAGGCAC
rnacentral:tRNA from 1 species